rnacentral:rRNA from 1 species
AGUGGGGAAUAUUGGUCAAUGGGCGAAAGCCUGAACCAGCAAUGCCGCGUGAGUGAUGAAGGCCUUCGGGUUGUAAAGCUCUGUCAGUGGGAACGAAUAAGCCGGUUAAUACCCGGUGGUGACGGUACCCGCAAAGGAAGCACCGGCUAACUCUGUGCCAGCAGCCGCGGUAAUACAGAGGGUGCAAGCGUUGUUCGGAAUUACUGGGCGUAAAGCGCGUGUAGGCGGUCCAGCAAGUCGGGUGUGAAAUCCCUAGGCUUAACCUAGGAACUGCAUUCGAAACUAUUGGACUAGAGUAUCGGAGGGGAUGGCGGAAUUCCCGGUGUAGAGGUGAAAUUCGUAGAUAUCGGGAGGAACACCUGUGGCGAAGGCGGCCAUCUGGAAGAUUACUGACGCUGAGACGCGAAAGCGUGGGGAGCAAA